rnacentral:rRNA from 1 species
UACGUAGGUCCCGAGCGUUGUCCGGAUUUAUUGGGCGUAAAGCGAGCGCAGGUGUUUAUUAAGUCUGGUGUAAAAGGCAGUGGCUCAACCAUUGUAUGCAUUGGAAACUGGUAGACUUGAGUGCAGGAGAGGAGAGUGGAAUUCCAUGUGUAGCGGUGAAAUGCGUAGAUAUAUGGAGGAACACCGGUGGCGAAAGCGGCUCUCUGGCCUGUAACUGACACUGAGGCUCGAAAGCGUGGGGAGCAAACAGG